rnacentral:rRNA from 1 species
AUUGAACGCUGUCGGCAGGCCUAACACAUGCAAGUCGAGCGAGCGGCGGACGGGUGAGUAAUGUCUGGGAAACUGCCUGAUAGAGGGGGAUAACUACUGGAAACGGUAGCUAAUAACGCAUACUAUCAGAUGAGCCCAGAUGGGAUUAGCUAGUAGGUGGGGUAACGGCUCACCUAGGCGACGAUCCCUAGCUGGUCUGAGAGGAUGACCAGACACACUGGAACUGAGACACGGUCCAGACUGCUACGGGAGGCAGCAGUGGGUAAGAUUGCACAAUGGGCGCAAGCCUGAUGCAGCCAUGCCGCGUGUAUGAAGAAGGCCUUCGGGUUGUAAAGCAUUUUCAGCGGGGAGGCGUUACCCGCAGAAGAAGCACCGGCUAACGCCGUGCCAGCAGCCGCGGUAAUUC